GAGAGAAGGAUCGAGAGAGAAGCUCGAAGCUUCUGACCCGAAGGGAGAGCGCCGACCCGGAAGAGAAACCCGACCGGAAAUCUCACCUCCGGCCACCGUUGGCCGCGAAAUUUAUGUCUAUCGCCUCGUCUCGUCGUUGCCGUCACGCCUAUGGUCUUCGAUUGCCCAUGCACCGGACGAGGAGGGAGAAACGUCAGUGAGAAGGUCUGAGUCUCUCCGGCGAGUUCUGCAAUUUCCGGCCACCGUCGGAGCUGCAAGUGUCGGCCUUCGUUGGAGUUGCAGAGCACGGCGGCGAUUCUGGAGUUUUUGUGCUCGUUUUUGAAGUUGGUUCUCGUCCUAAAAAUCAAAAAGUGAUGCUCUGGUCCUUGCUGCACUUCGGACUAAAUGAGAGAACUGGGAUAUACCCUGCUCGAAGUUCACCGAGCACAGGGGCUGCAAGUUCAUGAUUUCUCAUGAUUUCUAUUAGCUCAAAUCGAGCUACUUUGAUUAUCAAAGGACUCCAAUUACCCGAGGAACAGAAGGUUCGCGACUCUCGGAGUACGUGAGAGAAAGCAUCGGAAUCCAGUAUGGAUGCAGGUACUGUGCACUGGUGACGGGACAAUGGCGGACCGAGCUGGGUGUGCGGAACAAGUUUGGUAAACCGGCUUCUGGGCUUUAUUCUGCUUUCUAUUUCUCGAACUUUGUGUCCCGGAAUUCUUGGGUCAAACGUAGUUAAAUUCCUAGUCCUUAAAUCUUGUGCCUCCUGAGUGAACAUGAGUCUGGACGAACAAAUUGAACUUAGCGUUCAAGGAUUUUCACCUCAAAAAUAUUGGUAGCUUCCGCUGUGUUUUACGAAAAGUUUUUCAAACAAAAUGCCUAGCGGUCCUCUAGAAUGUAAACUGAGUGUUUGGUUUAUGUUUUAGAGACUCGCGGCUCUGUAACGUGCUUAAGCUGGUGAGGUGCGGCUUGGGGCGUUACAAAAUCCAUAACUAACUGGCAUGAUUUCUGCAAUCAUCAGUUGGCUCCCCACGUUAGUAUGUCGCUGCUUUCCAA